rnacentral:rRNA from 1 species
GCUUACGACCACACCAGCCUGAGUACGCCUGAUCUCGUCUGAUCUCGGAAGCUAAGCAGGGUCGGGACUGGUUAGUAUUUGGAUUGGAGACCGCCUGGGAAUACCAGGUGCUGUAAGCU